AUUGAACGCUGUCGGCAGGCCUAACACAUGCAAGUCGAACGAGUGGCGGACGGGUGAGUAAUGUCUGGGAAACUUCCUGAUGGAGGGGGAUAACUCCUGGAAACGGUAGCUAAUACCGCAUACCAUCAGAUGUGCCCAGCUGGGAUUAGCUUGUUGGUGGGGUAACGGCUCACCAAGGCGACGCUCCCUAACUGGUCUGAGGGGAGGACAAGCCACACGAGAACGGAGACACGUUCCAGACUCAUACGGGAGGCAGCAGUGGGGAAUAUUGCACAAUGGGCGCAAGCCUGAUGCAGCCCUGCCGCGUGUAUGAAGAAGUCCUUCGGGUUGUAAAGUACUUUCAGCGGGGAGGCGUUACCCGCAGAAGAAGCACCGGCUAACUCCGUGCCAGCAGCCGCGGUAAUUC
rnacentral:rRNA from 1 species